GGCCAUAUCAGGUUGAAACAUCGGUUCCCGUACGAUCACCAAAGUUAAGAAAAGUCGAACCAGAUCAGAACCUAGAUGGGUGACCGCUUAGGAAUAACAGGUUUUGA